CUACGGGAGGCAGCAGUCGAGAAUCUUCCGCAAUGGGCGCAAGCCUGACGGAGCAAUGCCGCGUGAGGGAUGACGGCCCUAGGGUUGUAAACCUCUGUCAGAAGGGACGAAGAACGUGACGGUACCUUCAGAGGAAGCCAUGGCUAACUACGUGCCAGCAGCCGCGGUAAUACGUAGAUGGCGAGCGUUAUUCGGAUUUACUGGGCGUAAAGGGUCCGUAGGGGGUCUGCCAAGUCUGAUGUGAAAUCCUGCGGCUCAACCGCGGAACUGCAUUGGAAACUGGCGGACUAGAGUGUGCGAGGGGUGAGCGGAAUUCCUGGUGUAGCGGUGGAGUGCGUAGAUAUCAGGAAGAACACCGAUGGCGAAGGCGGCUCACUGGCGCAUCACUGACCCUGAGGGACGAAAGCGUGGGUAGCAAACAGGAUUAGAUACCCCCGUAGUC
rnacentral:rRNA from 1 species